rnacentral:rRNA from 1 species
UGGGGAAUAUUGCACAAUGGGGGAAACCCUGAUGCAGCGACGCCGCGUGAGUGAAGAAGUAUUUCGGUAUGUAAAGCUCUAUCAGCAGGGAAGAAAACAGACGGUACCUGACUAAGAAGCCCCGGCUAACUACGUGCCAGCAGCCGCGGUAAUACGUAGGGGGCAAGCGUUAUCCGGAAUUACUGGGUGUAAAGGGUGCGUAGGUGGCAUGGUAAGUCAGAAGUGAAAGCCCGGGGCUUAACCCCGGGACUGCUUUUGAAACUGUCAUGCUGGAGUGCAGGAGAGGUAAGCGGAAUUCCUAGUGUAGCGGUGAAAUGCGUAGAUAUUAGGAGGAACACCAGUGGCGAAGGCGGCUUACUGGACUGUCACUGACACUGAUGCACGAAAGCGUGGGGAGCAAACAG